GCUUGUCUCAAAGAUUAAGCCAUGCAUGUCUAAGUAUAAACGACUUUAUACUGUGAAACUGCGAAUGGCUCAUUAUAUCAGUUAUAGUUUAUUUGAUGGUCCUUGCUACUUGGAUAACCGUAGUAAUUCUAGAGCUAAUACGUGCGUAAAUCCCGACUUCUGGAAGGGACGUAACUAUUAGAUAAAAGGCCGACCGGGCUCUGCCCGACUCGCGGUGAAUCAUGAUAGUUUCACGAAUCGCAUGGCCUUGUGCCGGCGAUGUUUCAUUCAAAUUUCUGCCCUAUCAACUUUCGAUGGU
rnacentral:rRNA from 1 species